AUUGAACGCUGGCGGCAGGCCUAACACAUGCAAGUCGAGCGGAUGAAGGGAGCUUGCUCCUGGUUUCCGCGGCGGACGGGUACGUAAUGCCUAGGAAUCUGCCACGUCGUGGGGGAUAACGUCCAGAAACGGGCGCUGAUACCGCAUACGUCUAGAGGGAGAAAGUGGGGGAUCUUCGGACCUGACGCUCUCAGAUGAGCCUAGGUCGGAUUAGCUAGUUGGUGGGGUAAAGGCCUACCAAGGCGACGAUCCGUAGCUGGUCUGAGAGGAUGAUCAGUCACACUGGAACUGAGACACGGUCCAGACUCCUACGGGAGGCAGCAGUGGGGAAUAUUGGACAAUGGGCGAAAGCCUGAUCCAGCCAUGCCGCGUGUGUGAAGAAGGUCUUCGGAUUGUAAAGCACUUUAAGUGGGGAGGAAGGGAAGUAAGUUAAUACCUUGCUGUAUUGACGUUACCAACAGAAUAAGCACCGGCUAACUUCGUG
rnacentral:rRNA from 1 species